rnacentral:rRNA from 1 species
AUUGAACGCUGGCGGCAUGCUUUACGCAUGCAAGUCGAACGGCAGCGCGGGCUUCGGCCUGGCGGCGAGUGGCGAACGGGUGAGUAAUGCAUCGGAACGUGCCCAGUAGUGGGGGAUAGCCCGGCGAAAGCCGGAUUAAUACCGCAUACGACCUGAGGGUGAAAGCGGGGGACCGAAAGGCCUCGCGCUAUUGGAGCGGCCGAUGUCGGAUUAGCUAGUUGGUGGGGUAAAGGCUUACCAAGGCGACGAUCCGUAGCUGGUCUGAGAGGACGACCAGCCACACUGGGACUGAGACACGGCCCAGACUCCUACGGGAGGCAGCAGUGGGGAAUUUUGGACAAUGGGGGCAACCCUGAUCCAGCCAUGCCGCGUGCGGGAAGAAGGCCUUCGGGUUGUAAACCGCUUUUGUUCGGGAAGAAAUCCUCUGGGCUAAUACCCCGGGGGGAUGACGGUACCGGAAGAAUGAGCACCGGCUAACUACGUG